GAUGAAGAACGCAGCGAAAUGCGAUAAGUAAUGUGAAUUGCAGAAUUCAGUGAAUCAUCGAAUCUUUGAACGCACAUUGCGCCCCUUGGUAUUCCGGGGGGCAUGCCUGUUCGAGCGUCAUUAUAACCCCUCAAGCUCAGCUUGGUGUUGGGGCCUGCCGACUGGCAGCCCUUAAAAUCAGUGGCGGCGCCAUCUGGCUCUAAGCGUAGUAAUUUCUCUCGCUAUAGAGUCCCGGUGGAUGCUUGCCAGCAACCCCCAACUUUCUAUGGUUGACCUCGGAUCAGGUAGGGAUACCCGCUGAACUUAAGCAUAUCAAUAAGCGGAGG
rnacentral:misc_RNA from 1 species